rnacentral:rRNA from 1 species
UACGUAGGGGGCUAGCGUUGUCCGGAAUCAUUGGGCGUAAAGAGCGUGUAGCGGCCCGGUAAGUCCGCUGUAAAAGUCAAAGGCUCAACCUUUGAAUGUCAGUGGAUACUGCCGGGCUAGAGUCCGGAAGAGGCGAGUGGAACUCCUGGUGUAGCGGUGGAAUGCGCAGAUAUCAGGAAGAACACCAACGGCGAAGGCAGCUCGCUGGGACGGUACUGACGCUGGAGACGCGAAAGCGUGGGGAGCGAACAGG